CUUUGUUCUGGAUUUGUUGUCUUUUAUUAUUAUUGCCAACACAGCUUUAAACCUCGGCAGAAAUAGGAAUUUCUCAGUUCUUUCAGAAAUUUUACUUGUGAGCUUGUUGAAGAUCAAGCAAAAGCAAAUUUUCAAAUGGACACAACAUUCACUUAAGUUUUCUUUUAAAUUUUUAACAAAAACCUAUUCUUACUUGUCUAUAUUUUUACAGGAUUAAAUAUAACAUAAGUUAGUCUGAUACUUUGUCACCAAAACACUGUAUUUGAUACAUGAACAAAACAGCAAUCACAGUUUACGAUGACAAUGUUGGUUAGCUUUACAGCAGCGAUGACAGCAAGGCAUCUGCUUGACAUUGAAUUAACGUAAACUUCCAGUCAACAUCUUGUCCAAUUUCAGACCAAAUGUCUUGUAACGUAGCAAAAGUUUUAUCCACAUUUGUAGCUGGCUUUAAUCUUAGUUGCCUGUCAAGGUGGUCCCAUAACUGUUCAAUGGGAUUAAGAUCCGGGGAUUGUGGAGGCCAUUCCAUAACUGUUAAUGUUCCUGU